rnacentral:rRNA from 1 species
UGGGGAAUUUUGGACAAUGGGCGAAAGCCUGAUCCAGCAAUGCCGCGUGUGUGAAGAAGGCCUUCGGGUUGUAAAGCACUUUUGUCCGGAAAGAAAUCCUUGGCUCUAAUACAGUCGGGGGACGACGGUACCGGAAGAAUAAGCACCGGCUAACUACGUGCCAGCAGCCGCGGUAAUACGUAGGGUGCAAGCGUUAAUCGGAAUUACUGGGCGUAAAGCGUGCGCAGGCGGUUUGCUAAGACCGAUGUGAAAUCCCCGGGCUCAACCUGGGAACUGCAUUGGUGACUGGCAGGCUAGAGUAUGGCAGAGGGGGGUAGAAUUCCACGUGUAGCAGUGAAAUGCGUAGAGAUGUGGAGGAAUACCGAUGGCGAAGGCAGCCCCCUGGGCCAAUACUGACGCUCAUGCACGAAAGCGUGGGGAGCAAACAGGAUUAGAUACCCUGGUAGUCCACGCCCUAAACGAUGUCAACUAGUUGUUGGGGAUUCAUUUCCUUAGUAACGUAGCUAACGCGUGAAGUUGACCGCCUGGGGAGUACGGUCGCAAGAUUAAAACUCAAAGGAAUUG